UGGCGGACGGGUGAGUAAUGUCUGGGAAACUGCCCGAUGGAGGGGGAUAACUACUGGAAACGGUAGCUAAUACCGCAUAACGUCGCAAGACCAAAGAGGGGGACCUUCGGGCCUCUUGCCAUCGGAUGUGCCCAGAUGGGAUUAGCUAGUAGGUGGGGUAAGGCUCACCUAGGCGACGAUCCCUAGCUGGUCUGAGAGGAUGACCAGCCACACUGGAACUGAGACACGGUCCAG
rnacentral:rRNA from 1 species